AACAUGCUCAGUUUCUGCAUGAAACGGUAGUGGUUGGGUUUCAUUUUUUAGCCCACGCUAUAUAUUGUUGUAGCUGCUCAGAUUCAUUCUUCCUACAGUUUCCCUCCUCCCUUCACAAUUCUUUGAUUGUUGGUGUGGUUUUGGAUGGUUGUGCACCGGUUCUAGUUGCCUUCAUCACGCCGGUGGACUUGAAUUGUUUGGCUAGAUAUAGUUUGUUAACUUGUUGUCCAAUGUCAUAGCGAGUUGUUGGCUUAUGGUUCUGUUAUAUGUUGGUCGUCACACUCACUACAUUCCUAAAUCUUAGUUCAUAUGGACUUGUAUCCAGUUCUUGCUUGUGUUCGUUCGUGCAUCACUAUUUUUUUACAAUUUAGUUUUAGGUUCGUACGGUGGCCCGCUGGAUUGUGUUGGUGAUGUGUAUAAGUAUGUUUGUUAUUUUUUGUACCCUUUUGAGUUGAUUUCAUUUUGUACUUUUGUUUUUAUUUAUUUAAGUGAAUCAUAGGCUAAUGUUACGGUCAGUGGCGGAGCCAGAAACUUUUAACAGUGGGGGCAUUAAAUGCCUAAAUUUGUAGCAUAAAAUAUAUACUGUCAAAUUAUAUUUUUAUAGAUGGAUCCAAUUUUAUAAUUUCAUAUUCAUCAG
rnacentral:lncRNA from 1 species